AAUCAACGCUGGCGGCGCGCUUAACACAUGCAAGUCGAACGAGAAAGGGGAGCAAUCCCUGAGUACAGUGGCGCACGGGUGAGUAACACGUGGGUAAUCUGCCUCUUCGGUGGGGAAUAACUCUGGGAAACCGGAGCUAAUACCGCAUACACCUGAGAAGGGAAAGGCGAAAGUCGCCGAGAGAGGAGCCCGCGGCUGAUUAGCUGGAUGGCAGGGUAAUGGCCUACCAUGGCUGAGAUCAGUAGCCGGCCUGAGAGGGCACACGGCCACACUGGCA
rnacentral:rRNA from 1 species